GAAAUGCGAUAAGUAAUGUGAAUUGCAGAAUUCAGUGAAUCAUCGAAUCUUUGAACGCACGUUGCGCCCCCUGGUAUUCCGGGGGGCAUGCCUGUUCGAGCGUCAUUUCACCACUCAAGCCUCGCUUGGUAUUGGGCGACGCGGUCCGCCGCGCGCCUCAAAUCGACCGGCUGGGUCUUUCGUCCCCUCAGCGUUGUGGAAACUAUUCGCUAAAGGGUGCCGCGGGAGGCCACGCCGUAAAACAACCCCAUUUCUAAGGUUGACCUCGGAUCAGGUAGGGAUACCCGCUGAACUUAAGC
rnacentral:misc_RNA from 1 species